rnacentral:rRNA from 1 species
UACAGGCUGUACACUGUAAAGCCUGUUCUCGUCUGAUCCCAGAAGCUAAACAGUGUCAGGCCUGGUUAGUGUGUGCCACCUCGGAAUGCCAGGUGCUGUAA